UACGUAGGUGGCAAGCGUUGUCCGGAUUUACUGGGCGUAAAGAGCGCGCAGGCGGUCGUUCAAGUCGCGUGUGAAAGCCCCCGGCUCAACUGGGGAGGGUCACGCGAUACUGAUCGACUCGAAGGCAGGAGAGAGUAGUGGAAUUCCCGGUGUAGUGGUGAAAUGCGUAGAUAUCGGGAGGAACACCAGUGGCGAAGGCGACUACCUGGCCUGUUCUUGACGCUGAGGCGCGAAAGCUAGGGGAGCAAACGGG
rnacentral:rRNA from 1 species